UGCUUAUGCGUUUAAAUGGGUGUGGUGCUAAGUAUAUCUUGUUUACGUUACCUUUCUUUGGAAAAAGUUUUGAAGUCUGGUAGGAUUUGUCCCAUCUUGCCUAUUGCCUGACACUACUGAAAGGGUCCUUAUCUAGCAGCAAGGACUGGAUAGGCAGAGGCUGUGGUUUAGU
rfam:Procavia capensis cont1.183940, whole genome shotgun sequence.